rnacentral:rRNA from 1 species
AGGAUGAACGCUGGCGGCGUGCUUAACACAUGCAAGUCACGGGGGUUUGAGGCGCAAGCCUUGGGCAACCGGCGAACGGGUGCGUAACACGUGAGCAACCUACCGAAAUGAGGGGGAUAGCCGGCCCAACGGCCGGGUAAUACCGCAUACGCUCGAGACCAGGCAUUUGGACUCGAGGAAACCUCCGGGGCAUUUCGAGGGGCUCGCGGCCUAUCAGCUAGUUGGUGAGGUAACGGCUCACCAAGGCGACGACGGGUAGCUGGU